AUUGAACGCUGGCGGAAUGCUUUACACAUGCAAGUCGAGCGGCAGCGCGGCCUUCGGGCUGGCGGCGAGCGGCGAACGGGUGAGUAAUGCAUCGGAACAUGCCCAGUCGUGGGGGAUAACACUUCGAAAAAAGUGCUAAUACCGCAUACGUCCUGAGGGGGAAAGCGGGGGAUCGCAAGACCUCGCGCGAUUUGAGUGGCCGAUGUCAGAUUAGCUAGUUGGUGGGGUAAAGGCCUACCAAGGCGACGAUCUGUAGCUGGUCUGAGAGGAUGAUCAGCCACACUGGGACUGAGACACGGCCCAGACUCCUACGGGAGGCAGCAGUGGGGAAUUUUGGACAAUGGGGGCAACCCUGAUCCAGCCAUUCCGCGUGAGUGAAGAAGGCCUUCGGGUUGUAAAGCUCUUUCGGCAGGAACGAAACGGUGGGCUCUAACAUAGUCCGCUAAUGACGGUACCUGAAGAAGAAGCACCGGCUAACUACGUG
rnacentral:rRNA from 1 species